rnacentral:rRNA from 1 species
CCUACGUGUGGCAGCAGUGAGGAAUAUUGGUCAAUGGGCGGAAGCCUGAACCAGCCAAGUAGCGUGCAGGAUGACGGCCCUACGGGUUGUAAACUGCUUUUAUACGGGAAUAACGCGCCUUACGUGUAGGGCUUUGCAUGUACCGUAUGAAUAAGGACCGGCUAAUUCCGUGCCAGCAGCCGCGGUAAUACGGAAGGUCCGGGCGUUAUCCGGAUUGAUUGGGUUUACAGGGAGCGUAGGCCGCAUGUCAAGCGUGCUGUGAAAUGUGCGGGCUCAACCCGGGCCUUGCAGCUCGAACUGGCGUGCUUGAGUCCGCUGAAAGCAGGCGGAAUUCGUCGUGUAGCGGUGAAAUGCUUAGAUAUGACGAAGAACCCCGAUUGCGAAGGCAGCUUGCUGCAGCGGAACUGACGCUGAUGCUCGAAAGCGCGGGUAUCGAACAGGAUUAGAUACCCUGGUAGUC